rnacentral:lncRNA from 1 species
UCAGACUUUUAAAGCAUCUGAAGCGGGAUGAAGGUGAAAGAUGGAAGGAUCUGAUCUCUGAAACUGCGCUCACCACCCCCAAGUUGUGGCCUUGGAUACCACACUGUGCAGUUGGGUGGUGAUGGGCCGGUCUAAUUGAAGCCAACGGAGAACUCAAGGUCUUCAUAGACCAGAACCUUAGUCCCGGAAAAGGUAAGGGCACCUGUUCUGGACACACUUGUGUUGAUGAAUGCGUGAAGCUUCACGUGUUUAUGAAGCUGUUGACGUUGAAGCCUCUUGCUAAUGAUGGCAUCUCCUGCACGGGCACCUUUGUGCUCUGAGAAUCCAGGAGGGUGGGCGUAGGGGCCUUCUAAUAUUUAGAAACAGCCUGCACACCACACCAGAAGCUUUGUGGAUUUUGAAUUCUAAGGUGUGUAUACUAUUUGCAAACAUUUAGAAAAAGGUAGAAUAAUGUAAAGAAGAAAUAAAGACAAUUUGUUUUCCCGCCACCCAAAGAUAAUGACGUCUCAGCAGUGGUGUGGGCUCUUCCAGAAGCCAGACUCACCUGUGCU